ensembl:snRNA U6 U6 spliceosomal RNA
GUGUCUGUUUCAGCAAUACAUACACUAAAAUUGGAAAGACACAGAGAAGAUUAGCAUAGCCCCUGCAUGAGGAUGGCAAGCAAAUCUGUGACAUGUUCCAUAUUUUA